AACCGCUAGGUGGAUACUUGGACGCAACCGAUUGACCGGUACUUCACGUUUCGUCUUAACGUUCGUAUUGAGUAGUUUGGUGGUUUUUGUCGUCCAAUAUGGAUGAUGAAGAUGAACGAUUGGAAGAAGACUUUUAUCAAUUCCUUAACUUACCAAGAAAUGCCCCACAAGAAGAGAUCACAAAUGCAUACAGAAGACUAAGUCGCAUUUAUCAUCCAGACAAACAUACUGAUGCCCUCCGAAAGAAAGAAGCUGAAGUUUUGUUCAAUAAGACAAAAAAAGCAUAUGAAGUUCUGAGUGAUCCCCAUAAAAGAGCCAUAUAUGACAGUCUAGGAACCAAGGGAUUAGAAACAGAAGGAUGGGAGAUUGUUCAAAGAACUAAAACCCCACAAGAAAUCAGAGAAGAAUAUGAACUUUUAGCUCAGCAAAAAGAGGAACGUCGUCUCCUCCAGAGGACUAACCCUAAAAGCUCAAUAUCAGUUUCUGUUGAUGCCACUGAAUUGUUUAAUCCUUACGAAGAUGAAUAUGAUGAAUUUGGAUCUGAUGGUUUUCCAUCUAUUGUGGUGAAAGGCAUGAACUUUUCUCAAUCUAUUGAGGCACCUCUUACUUUAAAUGACACAGCUUUUCUGUCUGGUCAGCUUUCAACACAUAAAGGGUCAGGUUCUGGCUCAGUAAAUGUAUCCUUGAGACGAAUCACUUCACCUGACGGAUGGGCAGAACUCGAAAUGGGAUUUGGCAGCGGUCUUUCCCUUGCCGCCAAGGGUUUCCGCAAUCUGACCAGAAGGAUCUUUACUAAUGUUUCCGGUAUCGUUACUUCUACAGAUCGAGGUUUAACCCUUGGCUUUGUAUCCACGUUGGCGCAUCAAUUGGAUAAGAACACCGUUGGUUAUCUUACAUAUAAAGCCUCUGGACCUAGUUCGAUGAGCACCAUGGUGGUCAAGGACACAUCUAGAUAUCGGGCACAAGUUAAUUUUGUUCUUGGUAUCCCGCACUCCUACUUCGCCAUCACAUACUGCCACAAACUAGAAAAACACGAUGGAAGAUUACGAGGAGCUAUCAAAGCCGGAACCUUUGGAGCUAUGGUAGAAUAUGGUCUUGAGCGUAAAGUAUCAGAACAUAGCUCGCUCGCAGUUUCUAUGACAGUUGGCGUUCCGACUGGUGUAAUGCUUAAAAUCAAAUUAUCUCGAGGGAACCAAAUCUACAAUUUUCCAAUCCAUUUGUGUCAUGAAGUUUUGCCAAGCCCCAUCUUUUACGGAACAGUCACACCCAUGGUUGCAUGGAUCAUCAUACGUCGAGUGGUUGUGGAACCUUACAUGCAGCAACAGAAAGUUAAAGAUAUUGAAAGACAUCGAGCUGUGCAUCACUCACAAAUGCUCGCACGUCGCAGGGAAGCCGAAAUUUCUAUUGACCUGAUGAAGGAAACAUACAGACGGAUUGUCGAGGACGAGGAAAACCGAAAAGGCUUAAUUAUCACAAAAGCGCUUUACGGUCGAUGGUUAGAUCUCAGCCAUCGCGAUCUCGGUGACGCCAUCACCGACGUUACCAUCCCUCUUCAAUGCCUAGUCAGGGAUUCCAAGCUUAUACUUCACGAGGCAUCCAAGUGUCAGCUUCCAGGAUUUUAUGAUCCUUGCAUGGGUGAAGACAAGUCUUUGUAUGUACAGUACUCAUUUCAUGGGGUUCCACAUGAAGUGACAAUCCAGGAUACGGAUCCCCUUCGGAUACCCAAGCAGUCUCACAGAAAACAGCUCUGAAAAUGACCAGGCAAUAGAUGACAUUUUAAUAAGGUGAUUAUGGACCUACAGUAGGCAUUACAAAUGUUGAUUUGAUUUUACAGCUGUGUUUGGAUCAACAUUUUAUGCCAGCAUCUGUCCUACCAAGAAAAAUAUUCAUGACUUGUUUUAGGGUGAUGCUUGAUAGCUGUACCAGCUGACCACAUCCUACUGUAUGCUGGGGAAAACUGAAAAGGUAUUUCAUCAUACACUUUCCUGGCGGAA